rnacentral:tRNA from 1 species
UGCCUAGUGGCUCAGUUGGUUAGAGCGCCGCCCUGUCACGGCGGAGGUCACGGGUUCGAGUCCCGUCUGGGUCG